GACGAACGCUGGCGGCGUGCCUAAUACAUGCAAGUAGAACGCUGAAGAGAGGAGCUUGCUCUUCUUGGAUGAGUUGCGAACGGGUGAGUAACGCGUAGGUAACCUGCCUUGUAGCGGGGGAUAACUAUUGGAAACGAUAGCUAAUACCGCAUAACAAUGGAUGAAACAUGUCAUUUAUUUGAAAGGGGCAAUUGCUCCACUACAAGAUGGACCUGCGUUGUAUUAGCUAGUAGGUGAGGUAAUGGCUCACCUAGGCGACGAUACAUAGCCGACCUGAGAGGGUGAUCGGCCACACUGGGACUGAGACACGGCCCAGACUCCUACGGGAGGCAGCAGUAGGGAAUCUUCGGCAAUGGGGGCAACCCAGACCGAGCAACGCCGCGUGAGUGAAGAAGGUUUUCGGAUCGUAAAGCUCGGUUGUAAGUCAAGAACGGGUGUGAGAGUGGAAAGUUCACACUGUGACGGUAGCUUACCAGAAAGGGACGGCUAACUACGUG
rnacentral:rRNA from 1 species